rnacentral:rRNA from 1 species
AUACGUAGGGGGCGCGCGUUGUCCGGAAUGAUUGGGCGUAAAGGGCGCGUAGGCGGCUUUGCAAGUCAGUAGUGGAAGUCCAUUUUUCAAGGAUGGAAGUGCUACAGAAACUGCGGAGCUUGAGUGCAGGAGAGGUUAUCGGAAUUCCCGGUGUAGCGGUGAAAUGCGUAGAGAUCGGGAGGAACACCAGUGGCGAAGGCGGGUAACUGGACUGCAACUGACGCUGAGGCGCGAAAGUGUGGGGAGCAAACAGGAUUAGAUACCCUGGUAGUCCACACUGUAAACGAUGAAUGCUAGGUGUAGGAGGUAUCGACCCCUUCUGUGCCGCAGUAAACACAGUAAGCAUUCCGCCUGGGGAGUACGGUCGCAAGAUUAAAACUCAAAGGAAUUGACGGGG